GAGGAGCUCCUUUAGACGAGUGCGGGAAACCUCCAUGGCCUCCAUGGUCUUGGAUUGUGUGAUAGUCCGAAACGGUUUGCCGGAAAUAAUUGGAUCUGCUUCUUGCUGGGAUCUUGCAGCCACGGGAGUACUAGGCUCUGCUUGCAGCUGCCUUGGAGACUCCUCCUCCUCUGGUUCAUCAAACAAACCUGGAAAAAUGAAGCCGUCAGUAACUGCUUCAUCUUCUUGCUCGGGUGUGACAGG
rnacentral:lncRNA from 1 species